GUAACGGCGAGUGAAGCGGCAACAGCUCAAAUUUGAAAUCUGGCUCUUCGGGGUCCGAGUUGUAAUUUGCAGAGGAUGCGUCGGGUACGGGUCCCUACCGAGUUCCCUGGAACGGGACGCCAUAGAGGGUGAGAGCCCCGUCUGGUAGGAUACCCAGCCCAUGUGACGCUCCCUCGACGAGUCGAGUAGUUUGGGAAUGCUGCUCUAACGGGAGGUAUACUCCUUCCAAAGCUAAAUACCGGCUGGAGACCGAUAGCGCACAAGUAGAGUGAUCGAAAGAUGAAAAGCACUUUGAAAAGAGAGUCAAACAGCACGUGAAAUUGUUAAAAGGGAAGCACUCGCUACCAGACUUGGGUUUGGCGGUUCAACCGGGGCCACGCCCCGGGGCAUUCCGCCAGCUCAGGCCAGCAUCAGCUUUCCGUCGGGGGCAAAGACGUCGGGAAUGUGGCUCCCCCUCGGGGGAGUGUUAUAGCCCGGCGUGUCAUACCCUUCGGGGGGCUGAGGUACGCGCUUCUGCAAGGAUGCUGGCGUAAUGGUAGCUAGUGACCCGUCUUGAAACACGGACCAAGGAGUCAACCUUAUGUGCGAGUGCCCGGGCGUAAAACCCCAGCGCGGAAUGAAAGUGAACGUAGGUGAGAGCUUCGGCGCAUCACCGACCGAUCCUGAUGUCCUCGGACGGAUUUGAGUGAGAGCAUAUAGGGUUGGACCCGAAAGAAGAUGAACUAUGCGUGUGUAGGGUGAAGCCAGAGGAAACUCUGGUGGAGGCUCGCAGCGGUUCUGACGUGCAAAUCG
rnacentral:misc_RNA from 1 species